rnacentral:rRNA from 1 species
AUAGGGUCAAGUGACUAAGUGCAUGUGGUGGAUGCCUUGGCGAUCACAGGCGAUGAAGGACGUGGUAGCCUGCGAAAAGCGCGGGGGAGCUGGCAAACGAGCUUUGAUCCCGCGAUGUCCGAAUGGGGAAACCCACCCGCGAGGGUACCCUUGACUGAAUACAUAGGUCAUGUGGAGCGAACCGAGUGAACUGAAACAUCUCAGUAGCUCGAGGAACAGAAAUCAACCGAGAUUCCCAAAGUAGUGGCGAGCGAAAUGGGACGAGCCUGCACAACUAAACCAGUCUCUCAGCAGAACGGUCUGGAAAGUCCGGCCAUAGUGGGUGAUAGCCCCGUAUGUGAAAAGAGAUUGGCGGGUCUAGGUGUGCGACAAGUAGGGCGGGACACGUGUAAUCCUGUCUGAAGAUGGGGGGACCAUCCUCCAAGGCUAAAUACUCGUGAUCGACCGAUAGUGAACCAGUACCGUGAGGGAAAGGCGAAAAGAACCCCGGGAGGGGAGUGAAAUAGAUCCUGAAACCGCAUGCAUACAAACAGUGGGAGCCUCCUUGUGGGGUGACUGCGUACCUUUUGUAUAAUGGGUCAGCGACUUACGUUCAGUUGCGAGCUUAACCGAAUAGGGGAGGCGUAGCGAAAGCGAGUCUGAACAGGGCGUUCAGUAGCUGGGCGUAGACCCGAAACCGGAUGAUCUAUCCAUGGCCAGGUUGAAGGUGCGGUAACACGCACUGGAGGACCGAACCCACUAGUGUUGCAAAACUAGGGGAUGAGCUGUGGAUAGGGGUGAAAGGCUAAACAAAUCCGGAAAUAGCUGGUUCUCCUCGAAAACUAUUUAGGUAGUGCCUCGUAAUAGGCCUCCGGGGGUAGAGCACUGUAAUCGUUGGGGGGGUCACUUAGAUCUACCCCGCGAUAGCAAACUCCGAAUACCGGAGAGUCGUUUUACGGGAGACAGACAUCGGGUGCUAACGUCCGGUGUCGAGAGGGAAACAACCCAGACCCACAGCUAAGGUCCCAAAUGAUGUGCUAAGUGGUAAACGAAGUGGGAAGGCUAAGACAGCCAGGAAGUUGGCUUAGAAGCAGCCAUCCUUUAAAGAAAGCGUAAUAGCUCACUGGUCGAGUCGUCCUGCGCGGAAGAUGUAACGGGGCUAAGCACAUAACCGAAGCUUGGGAUUCAGGAAUCAGAGUUCAGGAAUUAGGUAUCAGAAUGGCGGUGCAUCGGUUUGAAGAUUUGGAGGUAUUCAAGCGGGCCUACAAGGUUUCGUUGGAGAUUCACCAAAUCAGUCUGGCGAUGCCGCAGGUUGAGCAGUUUGGGCUGGCCGAGCAGAUGCGUCGGGCCAGCAAGUCGAUCUGUGCCAAUCUGGCGGAGGGCUUUGGUAAGCAAAGUCUGUCGAAAACUGAAUUCAAGAGGUUCAUCAAGAUGGGUAUCGGGUCGGCCGACGAAAUGCGAGUUUGGCUGCGAUACUGUCUGGACCUGGGAUAUCUAGAUCAGAUUGAUUGGCAGUGUCUACGCGACGAGUACGAAGAGGUGGCGAAGAUGCUGCAGGGUCUCGCGCGCGGCGUGGCCUGAUCUGAUCCCUGAUCCCUGACCUCUGAUUCCUGAGUGGUAGAGGAGCGUUCUGUAGGCCUGUGAAGGUGUCCUGUGAGGGAUGCUGGAGGUAUCAGAAGUGCGAAUGCUGACAUGAGUAGCGAUAAAACGGGUGAAAAGCCCGUUCGCCGGAAGCCCAAGGUUUCCUACGCAACGUUCAUCGGCGUAGGGUGAGUCGGCCCCUAAGGCGAGGCAGAGAUGCGUAGCUGAUGGGAAACAGGUCAAUAUUCCUGUACCUUCGUUAACUGCGAUGGGGGGACGGAGAAGGCUAGGUCAGCCGGGUGUUGGAUGUCCCGGUUCAAGCGUGUAGGCGUGCUGCAUAGGCAAAUCCGUGCGGCUUAGCUGAGGCGUGACGACGAGCGGCCUUGAGCUGCGAAGUGAUUGAUGCCCUGCUUCCAGGAAAAGCCUCUAAGCUUCAGGUUAACGAAGACCGUACCGCAAACCGACACAGGUGGGCAGGGUGAGAAUCCUAAGGCGCUUGAGAGAACUCAGGAGAAGGAACUCGGCAAAUUGACACCGUAACUUCGGGAGAAGGUGUGCCCUGGUAGGGUGAAGGCCCUUGCGGCUGGAGCUCGAAGGGGUUGCAGUGAAAAGGUGGCUGCGACUGUUUAAUAAAAACACAGCACUCUGCAAACUCGAAAGAGGACGUAUAGGGUGUGACGCCUGCCCGGUGCCGGAAGGUUAAGUGAUGGGGUGCAAGCUCUUGAUCGAAGCCCCGGUAAACGGCGGCCGUAACUAUAACGGUCCUAAGGUAGCGAAAUUCCUUGUCGGGUAAGUUCCGACCCGCACGAAUGGCGUAACGAUGGCCACACUGUCUCCUCCUGAGACUCAGCGAAAUUGAAGUGUUUGUGAAGAUGCAAUCUCCCCGCGGCUAGACGGAAAGACCCCAUGAACCUUUACUGUAGCUUUGCAUUGGACUUUGACGGGACUUGUGUAGGAUAGGUGGGAGGCUGUGAAGCGGUGACGCCAGUCAUCGUGGAGCCAACCUUGAAAUACCACCCUGGUGUCGUUGAGGUUCUAACCUGCGCCCGUGAUCCGGGCGGGGGACAGUGCAUGGUAGGCAGUUUGACUGGGGCGGUCUCCUCCCAAAGUGUAACGGAGGAGUACGAAGGUUCUCUAGACACGGUCGGAAAUCGUGUUGAUAGUGCAAGGGCAUAAGAGAGCUUAACUGCGAGACCGACAAGUCGAGCAGGUGCGAAAGCAGGUCCUAGUGAUCCGGUGGUUCUGUAUGGAAGGGCCAUCGCUCAACGGAUAAAAGGUACUCUGGGGAUAACAGGCUGAUUCCGCCCAAGAGUUCACAUCGACGGCGGAGUUUGGCACCUCGAUGUCGGCUCAUCUCAUCCUGGGGCUGUAGCCGGUCCCAAGGGUAUGGCUGUUCGCCAUUUAAAGAGGUACGUGAGCUGGGUUUAAAACGUCGUGAGACAGUUUGGUCCCUAUCUGCCGUGGGCGCUGGAGAUUUGACGGGGGCUGCUCCUAGUACGAGAGGACCGGAGUGGACGCACCGCUGGUGUACCGGUUAUGACGCCAGUCGUAUCGCCGGGUAGCUAAGUGCGGAAGAGAUAACCGCUGAAAGCAUCUAAGCGGGAAACUUGCCUGAAGAUAAGAUCUCCCGGGGACUUGAUCCCCCUAAAGGGUCGUCGAAGACUACGACGUUGAUAGGUCGGGUGUGGAAGCGCAGUAAUGCGUUAAGCUAACCGAUACUAAUUGCCCGUGCGGCUUGACCCU